CGAGUCAUUUUGUUCUACUAUCUGAAAUUUUUUUUCACCACAGAUAUCACUGAGUAUAAUCUGGGAUGAUAUCUAGUGUCAUCUUUUUCUUUCCAUGUAUUUUUUUGAA